AUUAGCCGCCUUGGCUGUAGUGAGCAGUUGUGGCCACUGAGUGGCAGCAGAGUACCGGAGAAGACCCGGGAAGGCGCUCACACAGAAGUCCGCCAUAUUUGGUCCUCCCCGGGACCCGUAGAAGCGGCUGAUUUGAACCUGAGGAGGAAGGAAGUCCGGAGUUUGGAGCUGAAGAGAUUGGGGGGAAAAAGUGCAACUCUUAAAGAGAGACAAAUUAAUCUUCUCGGCUUCCUUUCUUUCUAUUAUUCUCACUGUCUGGUAUUGCAGGCAGUAUCUGCAGGCUGAACAAAAAAAACCCGACCGAACGCCGUACCAACAAAAGUGAUGUUGGAGCGGGGAUCUCCCCUGAUGUACCUUUGUAUUCUGGCAGGGGGACCCCUGUCAGACUCCUGUUAUACUGGACUACUGUUGGACAGACAGCUGUACACACUUACCGAACGUUAUCGGGUUCCUGCUGAACUGGGCGAAUUUGGACAGUGUUUUCCCAGCAUAAGAAUCCUUUGAGUACAGUAUAAGCAGUCAUAGCCUGGAAAAAUGUGAAUAAUAUUACAUUCUGGAGGUAAUAAAGUCCCCUAAACUGAAUGAGGUGAUGCCAAGCAACAGGUGGCUGCCUGUCAAUAGGAAACAUUGCUAAA